CAGGACCGGCUCUACAAGCUUUCAAUCAUGUUUUAGAUAGAUGAUGGAUUAGAGGGCAGUUACUGGAAUAUCCGACACAAGGAAGGGCAGGAUUCAUUCUUUGUUUGGUAUGCCGUUUGUGUGUCAGUAUAAAAGCGCCUGUGCGGGAGGUUUGUCCACAUAUCAUCUGACAACAUGAAGCUGCUUCUUCUCACGCUCGUGGUGCUGCUGUGUAGCACUCAAGUGCUCACACUCACAUGCUACACCUGUGGUGGUGCAAGUGACCCCGACUGUAAUACGGAGACAGUGUGCCCAUCGACAGCUCAGUUCUGCAAGACCGUAGAGUCAGAGGGUGUUAUCACCUCUCGGACCUGUGAGGCUUCGUGUUCUGAAGAUGAUGUUAGCGUGUCCUGCUGCUCAACAGAUCUCUGCUAGAGAUGAGGCAUCACUCUUCAAGCUGUCACUUUCGUUUUCUUGCUAAUCAAAAAUGUGUGUAAAAGAAAUGUUCAAUCAGAACAUCCUGUCUUUGAUUAGUCUUGUUAUUUUUCACUUUCAAUGUGAACUACGAACGCUGAACUGUUGAUCCUCAUUUAUCAUCUCACAGCCGCCUCAAGCUGCACAAGCCUUUCGUAGUCACAGCCAUGAUUUUUUUUUCUCUUUAAAAGAAUAAUGCUGGAAGCAGGGCAGCCGCACACACACAGGCACACAUGCCAACAAACACCCUUAAUCCCCUCUUGAUGUCACUUAGUGGGUCACUGCAGCAGCCUACUGCUAUGUGGGUUGCUGUCUGUCUGUCUGUGCUGCAAUGCAAAGUUGGACUGUUUCAAAAUCACUGAUUGGAGAAUGAAUAAAUCUUUGAAUUGAUCUCAUCCAUUUGUUUCAGUUGUCCUUUGUUACAGUUUCACUUCUCUUAUCUGAAGAUUUAAAAAGUUGACACGGCUUUUACACAGU
rnacentral:lncRNA from 1 species